rnacentral:rRNA from 1 species
AUUGCCCCAGUAACGGCGAGUGAAGCGGCAACAGCUCAAAUUUGAAAUCUGGCUCUCGGGCCCGAGUUGUAAUUUGUAGAGGAUGCUUUUGGUGAGGUGCCUUCCGAGUUCCCUGGAACGGGACGCCAUAGAGGGUGAGAGCCCCGUCUGGUUGGACACCGAUCCUCUGUAAAGCUCCUUCGACGAGUCGAGUAGUUUGGGAAUGCUGCUCUAAAUGGGAGGUAUAUGUCUUCUAAAGCUAAAUACCGGCCAGAGACCGAUAGCGCACAAGUAGAGUGAUCGAAAGAUGAAAAGAACUUUGAAAAGAGAGUUAAAAAGUACGUGAAAUUGUUGAAAGGGAAGCGCUUGUGACCAGACUUGGGCUUGGUUGAUCAUCCGGGGUUCUCCCCGGUGCACUCUUCCGGCUCAGGCCAGCAUCAGUUCGCCCUGGGGGAUAAAGGCUUCGGGAAUGUGGCUCUCUCCGGGGAGUGUUAUAGCCCGCUGCGUAAUACCCUGUGGCGGACUGAGGUUCGCGCAUUCGCAAGGAUGCUGGCGUAAUGGUCAUCAGUGACCCGUCUUGAAACACGGACCAAGGAGUCGUCUUCGUAUGCGAGUGUUCGGGUGUCAAACCCCUACGCGAAAUGAAAGUGAACGCAGGUGAGAGCUUCGGCGCAUCAUCGACCGAUCCUGAUGUUAUCGGAUGGAUUUGAGUAAGAGCAUACGGGGCCGGACCCGAAAGAAGGUGAACUAUGCCUGUGUAGGGUGAAGCCAGAGGAAACUCUGGUGGAGGCUCGCAGCGGUUCUGACGUGCAAAUCGAUCGUCAAACAUGGGCAUGGGGCGAAAGACUAAU